rnacentral:rRNA from 1 species
AUUGAACGCUGGCGGCAGGCCUAACACAUGCAAGUCGAGCGGAUGAAGGGAGCUUGCUCCUGGAUUCAGCGGCGGACGGGUGAGUAAUGCCUAGGAAUCUGCCUGGUAGUGGGGGAUAACGUCCGGAAACGGGCGCUAAUACCGCAUACGUCCUGAGGGAGAAAGUGGGGGAUCUUCGGACCUCACGUUAUCAGAUGAGCCUAGGUCGGAUUAGCUAGUUGGUGGGGUAAAGGCCUACCAAGGCGACGAUCCGUAACUGGUCUGAGAGGAUGAUCAGUCACACUGGAACUGAGACACGGUCCAGACUCCUACGGGAGGCAGCAGUGGGGAAUAUUGGACAAUGGGCGAAAGCCUGAUCCAGCCACGCCGCGUGUGUGAAGAAGGUCUUCGGAUUGUAAAGCACUUUAAGUUGGGAGGAAGGGCAGUAAGUUAAUACCUUGCUGUCUUGACGUUACCAACAGAAUAAGCACCGGCUAACUUCGUG